ACAGCUGUAACCUCUUCUGCAUCACUACAGCAAGGCCACGCCGGCACCACCAACUUCCCCCGGCAGUAGCUCCACCCUCAUCUUCGAACCCCUCCGUCACCAACGAUCUCACCGUCACCACCACAACCAUUGCAACCACCGCAGCACCCACAGGGAAGGCCACUGUUCAUCCACCACCCUCAGAGGCUCUCUCUCACUCAUUUUCUCUUUUUUUCCAUUUUCUCCCCUUCUCUCAACCACUCUCAUCUCUCCAACUUCACACCGGAACCACCCCCCACAGCCAGAUCCACCAUCACAGCAGCCCAUGACACCACCAUCUCCACCCCUUACGGCCUCUCUCUCUCGUUCUCAUUUCUCCACCCUCUCCACUCUCUAGCCACCACACACAGUAACUCCCUCCACGUCUGGUCUCCCUCACAGAACCGCUGCCAGCCUGCCACAAAACCCAUCACCUCUCUCGUUCAAUCUCACCUUUGACAACCUUCUCCCUUCUCCCCAACCACCUCACCAAAUCUCAUUCUCUCCCUCAUCUCCUUCAUCUUCUCCUUCACGCUUACCUAUCCCCCUCGAUCAGCAGAUCCGGCCACAACAACCCUCAUCACCCGAAUUCACCUCCAUCCCCUCUCGCAGCAUCACAACAACCCUCAUCACCCGAACUCACCUCCAUCCCCUCUCGCAGCAUCACAACAACCCUCAUCACCCGAACUCACCUCCAUCCUCUCUCGCAGCAUCAAAACAACCCUCAUCACCUGAACUCACCUCCAUCUGCUCUCCAAUUCACGGCCACCAUUCAUCACCGUCCUCUUCCCCAACCAACCAGAAGCCACCCGAAUAUAGCGGCAGCGGCAGCCACCCGAACACAGCAGCAGCAGCAACAAGCUGAAGGAGCACGACCACCCGCAUUGCCUCCCGUCUUCUAUGACUCUUUUUGAGAGCUCUUAACCGUGGUGGUUUUUCAGCCGUAUUUGAUCCUACCCAGGUUACUCAACUCUUUUGGAGUGGAGUUCCAAGCCAUUCAUCUAUAGGGGAUUUCUAUCAGAAACGGAGUGUGGCCAUCUGGUUGAACCGGGAGUAGGCCAAAGGAAAAUUGGAGGAGUCAAUGGUUGCUGACAAUGACUCGGGUAAGAGUAUAGAGAGCAAGGUCCAGAUGAGUUCUGGUAUGUUUCUUAACAAAGCUCAGGUAUAACACCAGAUUCUCUUCAGUCUCUACACCAGGAAGAAGAAGAAGAGCCUGAUAAACUAAGAUUAACUCUGGCUUGAAAAUAUUGUCAUCUCUAACCACCCUAGAAGGUGUUUGACAAAAUGACUCAAAGAGAUGCCGAUUCUUGGGGUUGUUAGAAGCUUCAACUAUAGGAUAUUUACUCAGUUUUGAUCUUGGGGUUUUUGGAAGAAAGGUCGGAGACAAUUCUGAGGUCCCUCAAGUAGCCGUAAGUAGCAUCCUAGCAUCUGGGAGCAAGGGUGACGUAGCUACUGCUAGUAUCUACUAGGUACGAGUUUUGGUAUCCAGGUUGUCGGGAUAGUUUUGUGGACACCUGGAGUAUGUGUUGUAAUUAUGGGAAUGUAUAUCCUAGUUUGCAUAGACUCUGGUAUGAUACUAGUUGUGUAUAAAAGACCGUAUUUCGCUGC